UACGUAGGGUGCAAGCGUUAAUCGGAAUUACUGGGCGUAAAGCGUGCGCAGGCGGUUGUGCAAGACAGAUGUGAAAUCCCCGGGCUCAACCUGGGAAUUGCAUUUGUGACUGCACGGCUAGAGUGUGUCAGAGGGGGGUAGAAUUCCACGUGUAGCAGUGAAAUGCGUAGAGAUGUGGAGGAAUACCGAUGGCGAAGGCAGCCCCCUGGAUAACACUGACGCUCAUGCACAGAAAGCGUGGGGAGCAAACAGG
rnacentral:rRNA from 1 species